CAGCAGCCACGGUAAUACAGAGGGUGCAAGCGUUAAUCGGAAUUACUGGGCGUAAAGCGCGCGUAGGUGGUUCGCCAAGUUGGAUGUGAAAUCCCCGGGCUCAACCUGGGAACUGCAUCCAAAACUGGCGAGCUAGAGUAUGGUAGAGGGUGGUGGAAUUUCCUGUGUAGCGGUGAAAUGCGUAGAUAUAGGAAGGAACAUCAGUGGCGAAGGCGACCACCUGGACUGAUACUGACACUGAGGUGCGAAAGCGUGGGGAGCAAACAGGAUUAGAUACCCCCGUAGUCCCUGUCUCUUAUAC
rnacentral:rRNA from 1 species